UGGUGGGGUGACUGCGUACCUUUUGUAUAAUGGGUCAGCGACUUAUAUUCUGUAGCAAGGUUAACCGAAUAGGGGAGCCGGAGGGAAACCGAGUCUUAAUUGGGCGUUAAGUUGCAGGGUAUAGACCCGAAACCCGGUGAUCUAGCCAUGGGCAGGUUGAAGGUUGGGUAACACUAACUGGAGGACCGAACCGACUAAUGUUGAAAAAUUAGCGGAUGACCUGUGGCUGGGGGUGAAAGGCCAAUCAAACCGGGAGAUAGCUGGUUCUCCCCGAAAGCUAUUUAGGUAGCGCCUCGUGAAUUCAUCUCCGGGGGUAGAGCACUGUUUCGGCUAGGGGGCCAUCCCGGCUUACCAACCCGAUGCAAACUGCGAAUACCGGAGAAUGUUAUCACGGGAGACACACGGCGGGUGCUAACGUCCGUCGUGAAGAGGGAAACAACCCAGACCGCCAGCUAAGGUCCCAAAGUCAUGGUUAAGUGGGAAACGAUGUGGGAAGGCCCAGACAGCCAGGAUGUUGGCUUAGAAGCAGCCAUCAUUUAAAGAAAGCGUAAUAGCUCACUGGUCGAGUCGGCCUGCGCGGAAGAUGUAACGGGGCUAAACCAUGCACCGAAGCUGCGGCAGCGACGCUGAUGCGUUGUUGGGUAGGGGAGCGUUCUGUAAGCCUGCGAAGGUGUGUCGUGAGGCAUGCUGGAGGUAUCAGAAGUGCGAAUGCUGACAUAAGUAACGAUAAAGCGGGUGAAAAGCCCGCUCGCCGGAAGACCAAGGGUUCCUGUCCAACGUUAAUCGGGGCAGGGUGAGUCGACCCCUAAGGCGAGGCCGAAAGGCGUAGUCGAUGGGAAACGGGUUAAUAUUCCCGUACUUGGUGUUACUGCGAAGGGGGGACGGAGAAGGCUAUGUUGGCCGGGCGACGGUUGUCCCGGUUUAAGCGUGUAGGUGUGUGUUCCAGGUAAAUCCGGUUCACUUUAACACUGAGGCGUGAUGACGAGGCACUACGGUGCUGAAGCAACAAAUGCCCUGCUUCCAGGAAAAGCCUCUAAGCAUCAGGUAACAUCAAAUCGUACCCCAAACCGACACAGGUGGUCAGGUAGAGAAUACCAAGGCGCUUGAGAGAACUCGGGUGAAGGAACUAGGCAAAAUGGUGCCGUAACUUCGGGAGAAGGCACGCUGACACGUAGGUGAAGUGAUUUACUCAUGGAGCUGAAGUCAGUCGAAGAUACCAGCUGGCUGCAACUGUUUAUUAAAAACACAGCACUGUGCAAACACGAAAGUGGACGUAUACGGUGUGACGCCUGCCCGGUGCCGGAAGGUUAAUUGAUGGGGUCAGCGCAAGCGAAGCUCCUGAUCGAAGCCCCGGUAAACGGCGGCCGUAACUAUAACGGUCCUAAGGUAGCGAAAUUCCUUGUCGGGUAAGUUCCGACCUGCACGAAUGGCGUAAUGAUGGCCAGGCUGUCUCCACCCGAGACUCAGUGAAAUUGAACUCGCUGUGAAGAUGCAGUGUACCCGCGGCAAGACGGAAAGACCCCGUGAACCUUUACUAUAGCUUGACACUGAACAUUGAGCCUUGAUGUGUAGGAUAGGUGGGAGGCUUUGAAGUGUGGACGCCAGUCUGCAUGGAGCCGGCCUUGAAAUACCACCCUUUAAUGUUUGAUGUUCUAACGUGGACCCGUGAUCCGGGUUGCGGACAGUGUCUGGUGGGUAGUUUGACUGGGGCGGUCUCCUCCUAAAGAGUAACGGAGGAGCACGAAGGUUGGCUAAUCCUGGUCGGACAUCAGGAGGUUAGUGCAAUGGCAUAAGCCAGCUUGACUGCGAGCGUGACGGCGCGAGCAGGUGCGAAAGCAGGUCAUAGUGAUCCGGUGGUUCUGAAUGGAAGGGCCAUCGCUCAACGGAUAAAAGGUACUCCGGGGAUAACAGGCUGAUACCGCCCAAGAGUUCAUAUCGACGGCGGUGUUUGGCACCUCGAUGUCGGCUCAUCACAUCCUGGGGCUGAAGUAGGUCCCAAGGGUAUGGCUGUUCGCCAUUUAAAGUGGUACGCGAGCUGGGUUUAGAACGUCGUGAGACAGUUCGGUCCCUAUCUGCCGUGGGCGCUGGAGAACUGAGGGGGGCUGCUCCUAGUACGAGAGGACCGGAGUGGACGCAUCACUGGUGUUCGGGUUGUCAUGCCAAUGGCACUGCCCGGUAGCUAAAUGCGGAAGAGAUAAGUGCUGAAAGCAUCUAAGCACGAAACUUGCCCCGAGAUGAGUUCUCCCUGAGACUUAGAGUCUCCUGAAGGAACGUUGAAGACGACGACGUUGAUAGGCCGGGUGUGUAAGCGCAGCGAUGCGUUGAGCUAACCGGUACUAAUGAACCGUGAGGCUUAACCUUACAACGCCGAAG
rnacentral:rRNA from 1 species